CAAGUGAUGACAAUUCUAAUCAUCUUGUUAGAAGAGUACCAUUAUCGACGCAUAUUCGUACUCAUGCUCCUACUCCAAUCAUAAAUUCUCCACCGGAGAAGUCAUUGCUAAAGGUAGAUGGUCUUCCAAUGAUCCAUUUGUUCUUGUCCACCAUGUACCUCUUGGCCCCAAUGUAGUUCGUGUGUCGGUUGAUAUGGUGAAAAUACCAAAUUCCUUCUUAUGAAGGCCUAUCUCUAACAUUAUUGUUAUUGAUGAUGCUCUGGGCACUACUGCAGCAUGGCCAAUGGAUAAAGUCAAACUAUGUGAUUGAUGUGGAGAAAACAUUGGAGCAACACAUAUAUGUUGGAUAAUUUAACAAUUGCUACAAUUUGAACAUCUUUUUUUAUCCUCUCACACUAGAAGAAAUCUGGUCUUUAAUGUCGGGUGGAAAAAAUGAAAAAUAAGCUUUA